GAUUCUGAAGGGGGAAAUCCUGUACGCUGUAUGUUGUAUUUGAAUAAUCCAUAAGCGUAUAGCUUUUCCCAUUCGGCGU
rnacentral:miRNA from 11 species